UCCCCGCUGACGAGCGGCGGACGGGUGAGUAAUGCAUAGGAAACUGCCCAGUAGUGGGGGAUAGCCCGGGGAAACCCGGAUUAAUACCGCAUACGCCCUUUGGGGGAAAGCAGGGGAUCUUCGGACCUUGCGCUAUUGGAUGUGCCUAUGUCGGAUUAGCUAGUUGGUGGGGUAAGAGCCUACCAAGGCGACGAUCCGUAGCUGGUCUGAGAGGAUGAUCAGCCACAUCGGGACUGAGACACGGCCCGAACUCCUACGGGAGGCAGCAGUGGGGAAUAUUGGACAAUGGGGGCAACCCUGAUCCAGCCAUGCCGCGUGUGUGAAGAAGGCUUUCGGGUUGUAAAGCACUUUCAGUGAGGAGGAAAACCUUACGACUAAUACUCGUGAGGCUUGACGUUACUCACAGAAGAAGCACCGGCUAACUCCGUGCCAGCAGCCGCGGUAAUACGGAGGGUGCAAGCGUUAAUCGGAAUUACUGGGCGUAAAGCGCGCGUAGGUGGUUUGAUAAGCGAGAUGUGAAAGCCCCGGGCUCAACCUGGGAACGGCAUUUCGAACUGUCAGGCUAGAGUAUGGUAGAGGAGUGUGGAAUUUCCUGUGUA
rnacentral:rRNA from 1 species